rnacentral:rRNA from 1 species
AACGAACGCUGGCGGCAUGCCUAACACAUGCAAGUCGAACGAGACCUUCGGGUCUAGUGGCGCACGGGUGCGUAACGCGUGGGAACCUGCCCUUAGGUUCGGAAUAACUCCCCGAAAGGGGUGCUAAAACCGGAUAAUGUCUUCGGACCAAAGAUUGAUCGCCUGUGUUUGGGCCCGCGUUGGAUUAGCUAGUUGGUAGGGUAAAAGCCUACCUAGGUGAUGAUCCAUGGCUGGUCGGAGAGGAUGAUCAGCCACACUGGGACUGGGACCCGGCCCAGACUCCUACGGGAGGCAGCAGUGGGGAAUAUUGGACAAUGGGCGAAAGCCUGAUCCAGCAAUGCCGCGUGAGUGAUGAAGGCCUUAGGGUUGUAAAGCUCGUUUACCCGGGAUGAUAAUGACAGUACCGGGAGAAUAAGCACCGGCUAACUCCGUG